ensembl:lncRNA
AAGCAGUAAAAGCGAUGAGAAGUGGGCGCGCAGAGUCCGGCUCAGGCUGCCUGGAUGGAUGGGAGGUUCUCCUGCAGUUUGGGGACCAGAUGUGAGAGAGAGGAGGGGGACGAACUCAUCCUAGACAGCGGCUGCAAAAUGCUUCCUGGUCAACGGGUUUCCCUAAAACUUCCCCUGUAUAAUCUGACAGCUCGGACCUUCGGUUGAACGCGUCUAGUUUUAGAGUCAGAGGAGGGUGUGACACACGGCAGAGAAGAGUUGCUGAAAGAGAUACAGCUCUAACAAUGGUUGCAGAGGGCUGGAGAGUAUCCAUCACAGGGCCAGCACAAGGAGACAGAUAACCAUGCAUGCUCACACCCACACCUACAACCAGUCUACAAUCACCAGUUCACCUACUAUGUGUUUUGGACUGUGCGGACCUGCAGAAAACCCUCAAGAAUAUGCAAACUCCACAGAGAAACACCUCAGCUGACAUGCUGUUUUGAAGACAG